rnacentral:misc_RNA from 1 species
AACUGAUACUACCUGCGGGAACCUGCGGAGGGAUCAUUACUGAAGUGAUUUGGGGAUGUUGCUGGCCCUCUCUCAAGGGGGGGCACUGUGCACUCCUCGAAACAAUUCACAAUUUCCAUCACACCCCUUGUGCACACCUUGUAGGCACCCGAACCCACCUCCGGGUGGUGGGGUCCUAUGUAUUCCUUCAUCUCACACUCUGUUGAAUGGUGCCAUGGGACGCAUCUAAAGGAUUAUUUG